rnacentral:tRNA from 1 species
GCGCUUCUAGCAAUCUGGUGAUUGCAUACGGUUGUUAACCGGAGGGAGGUGGGUUCAAUUCCCACGGGGCGCG